GGACCUGACUGCUAUCGGAUCGUCAUAAGCCAUGCGAGUCAUCGUAGUAAUACAAGGCAGACGGCUCAGUAACGCGUAGUCAACCUACCCUAUGGACGGGGAUAACCUCGGGAAACUGAGAAUAAUACCCGAUAGAACAUUAUGCCUGGAAUGGUUUAUGUUUCAAAUAAUUUAUUGCCGUAGGAUGGGACUGCGGCCUAUCAGUUUGUUGGUGAGGUAAUGGCCCACCAAGACUAUUACAGGUACGGGCUCUGAGAGGAGUAGCCCGGAGAUGGGUACUGAGACACGGACCCAGGCCCUAUGGGGCGCAGCAGGCGAGAAAACUUUGCAAUGUGCGAAAGCACGACAAGGUUAAUCCGAGUGGUUUCUGCUAAAGGAACCUUUUGUCAGUCCUAGAAACACUGAUGAAUAAGGGGUGGGCAAGUUCUGGUGU
rnacentral:rRNA from 1 species